UACGAAGGGGGCUAGCGUUGUUCGGAAUCACUGGGCGUAAAGAGUACGUAGGCGGAUUGUUAAGUCAGGGGUGAAAUCCCGAGGCUCAACCUCGGAACUGCCUUUGAUACUGGCAAUCUUGAGUCCGGGAGAGGUGAGUGGAACUCCUAGUGUAGAGGUGAAAUUCGUAGAUAUUAGGAAGAACACCAGUGGCGAAGGCGGCUCACUGGCCCGGAACUGACGCUGAGGUACGAAAGCGUGGGGAGCAAACAGG
rnacentral:rRNA from 1 species